rnacentral:lncRNA from 1 species
UUAAAGGGCCAUACACGACACGGCAGGUGGGUGACUGAGCGCUAAUUGCGAGUUGAAAGCCGUACAAUAGUCGUGACGCAAUGCACGGCAGUCAGACCGUAUCGUACCAUCUUUUUCAAUAUUUUUUAGGUAUUUAGUCGUGCACACCCGUCUUUCUAGCGAGUACGAGAUUACAGUGUCCAAGUCACAUCCUGAUUUUGCUUUGUUGCCUGGCUUGAUUCCUAGAGGCGGAGGGCCGCAAUUCGACACCGGUGUACAGUUGCCCGUCUUGCCAUGAUUUCGCACUUUUAUUGUGGCAGCACCAGUCGGACGCCUGUGCUCCUGUGCUGGAUCUGUCUUUGUUUUGACGGCAGUCCUGGGUGUCAUCCCCCGAUGGCUUGUCCAACAUUCAGGGUAUUCGUGAUCUACAUAUGGAUCUGUGCUAAGCCUUUACUGCGAGUAAUUAGAGGUGUUAGGUUAUAAUGUACCACUUUGGCUGCAUUACUGCACACGUUGAGACUUCUUGAGGAGAGUUUGUUAGUGCUUGUUAGCCCGCAAGGACUUGUUGCACGAGGGGGGAAUUCGGAGGGAUUUUUUUGAUGUGUAAGGCCCCUUGUCUCUGCUCUAGAAGUUUUACCGUCCAGAGGUCGUCCAUGUGCAUUUUGAGAUCCCGGACAUGGAAGGAGUGUUGCUACUGCGUCUUCAAGCCGCCGUAACCGUCAUAACCGAAUAUGGGUCCUUACGUGUCGCAGUACAAAACGCUAGCAGAUAGACCCGGCACCUCCGUGGAGCACCAAGAUUGUAACGAGCUUGGAUAGCCACCACAACGAUGCUUCGAGCCCCGAGCUUUCGACCCUGCUACAACCGUAAAAGGGCGGCUGCGACCGUUGGUGUGCAGUUAUUCUUUCACCCUUUAGUGAAUCCGUUAGUGAAUUUUUGGCCGAGUCUUGACAAAGAUUUUACUCCCUGAAUGUGAGUUAGUCUCAGUGAAGCGGACGCCAUCACCUUGAAAUUUUAGCAGCCAGCAUGAGUCAGUGACUUUUGGUAACUUAAGCUGCGAUAUAAAUAACGUGCCUCAGUUCCAGUUAAGGUUGAUCAAGUUGUUACAGGCUUCUUAGAGGACUGUUUUUUUGG